rnacentral:rRNA from 1 species
UACGGAGGGUGCAAGCGUUGUCCGGAUUUAUUGGGUUUAAAGGGUGCGUAGGUGGCCUUGUAAGUCCGUGGUGAAAGCCUCUUGCUCAACAAGAGAACUGCCAUGGAUACUGCCGGGCUUGAGUGUAGACGAGGGUGGCGGAAUAGACGCUGUAGCGGUGAAAUGCAUAGAUAGCGUCUAGAACCCCGAUUGCGAAGGCAGCUGCCUAGACUACUACUGACACUGAGGCACGAAAGCGUGGGGAGCGAACAGG